UACGGAGGGGGCUAGCGUUGUUCGGAAUUACUGGGCGUAAAGCGCACGUAGGCGGCUUUGUAAGUUAGAGGUGAAAACCCGGGGCUCAACUCCGGGCCUGCAGUCGAUACGGGCUGGCUUGAGUGCGGUAGGGGAGACUGGAAUUCCUGGUGUAGCGGUGAAAUGCGCAGAUAUCAGGAGGAACACCGGUGGCGAAGGCGGCUCACUGGUCCAUUACUGACGCUGAGGUGCGAAAGCGUGGGGAGCAAACAGG
rnacentral:rRNA from 1 species